GUAAGCGCACGCAGGCGGUCUGUCAAGUCGGAUGUGAAAUCCCCGGGCUCAACCUGGGAACUGCAUUCGAAACUGGCAGGCUAGAGUCUUGUAGAGGGGGGUAGAAUUCCAGGUGUAGCGGUGAAAUGCGUAGAGAUCUGGAGGAAUACCGGUGGCGAAGGCGGCCCCCUGGACAAAGACUGACGCUCAGGUGCGAAAGCGUGGGGAGCAAACAGGAUUAGAUACCCUGGUAGUCCACGCCGUAAACGAUGUCGAUUUGGAGGUUGUGCCCUUGAGGCGUGGCUUCCGGAGCUAACGCGUUAAAUCGACCGCCUGGGGAGUACGGCCGCAAGGUUAAAACUCAAAUGAAUUGACGGGGGCCCGCACAAGCGGUGGAGCAUGUGGUUUAAUUCGAUGCAACGCGAAGAACCUUACCUGGUCUUGACAUCCACAGAACUUGCCAGAGAUGCUUUGGUGCCUUCGGGAACUGUGAGACAGGUGCUGCAUGGCUGUCGUCAGCUCGUGUUGUGAAAUGUUGGGUUAAGUCCCGCACA
rnacentral:rRNA from 1 species